UAUCGCUGACAGUGUGUGUGGUAUCACUCGAGAGGCAGGCUAUCAAGAUUCACAGAUACACACUUAUGAAACGCAAGAGUUUGUGUGAUGAUACUUAUCCAGCGCUUGACACAGGAACCACUAUGAACGAGAAUGGGUCUGACAACGAGGAGGCGAUACCGGAACGCUACUUACAAUGUCGUCUCUGUGGAAAGCAGUACGGUCAGGACAACAGGUGCCCUCGACUCCUGCCCUGCUUGCACUCCUACUGUCUGGGGUGUCUGGAGCUCGGAUGGGACUGGGCAGCGACCGGAAUCACGUGUCAACUGUGCAGUGCAACAUGGGACGUCCACGACAGCGUCUCGGCUACGUUCCCAGUCAACUACGUAGCCAUGAAGCUCCUUACACUGGCGAAGGUUGAGAACUCCCGAACAGUGCAUUGUACUGACUGUGAUGACAGCAAACGGGCUACACAUCGCUGUGUGGAGUGUCAUCACUUCAUUUGUAACGAGGGUUUCAAAGCUCACAAGCAGUUCGUGCAACUGCAGGCACACAGGCUUCUCAGUAUUGGCGAGUUCCUGAAAUCGCCGUCGGAGAUGUUCACGAAGGAAGACAUGUGUGACGUCCAUGUUGGUCAGCCUCUGGACCUAUUCUGCCUCAGUGACACGUGUAGAUGUGCUAUUUGUGCAUCAUGUGCCCUCGUCUCUCACACGGAGAGAGAGGGGCACUGUAUAGGUAAGGUGCAAGAGGUGUACACGGACCAGACGGGGCGAACCCGGGCCCUGAUCGAUCAGCUGUGCAUGAGGCUGGAGAACGCCAAGGAAGGGCUCAAUGUCUCUAAACGUCAACUGAAGCGGCUGGAGGGUCGCGAAGCCGACAUCAAGUCAGACAUCAGAAAGGUAUUUGAAAGUUUAAUGGAGGCUUUGAAAUCGAGGCGGGAUGCCAUCAUCACAACUGUUGAUGACAUCAUACAGAGAGAACGUGCUGAUUUCGAAGGCGCCCAAUCAGAGACGAAAUCGUCAGAGAAGCGGAUGUUGGAAGCAGUUGAGUUUGCCAACCAGGCUCUCUCUGUCUGUAGCUAUGCGGAGUUCAUGGAACUCAGCUCUCUGCUCGAGGGCACGAUGGUCAAACUGCAAGAAAAUGGUGUUGAGCUCCGCUGCGUUGAGAAGGACUUUCAGAUGGAUUCCAGCCGUCUGGACAGCAUCAAAACCAGUAUUAUCAAAUUUGGCGAUAUUAUUGAAACCUGUACCAACCCACACACGUGGCAACCAGUCGUCGAGGUAGUCGAUGCACAUCCGGGCCACGAGGCUAACAUAAUGGAAGUCAAGUUCAUCAAUGAAAUAAACAAAAUGGCGGCAACGGAAGUACCCAAGAUCGGGGUGAAGGUCGAACGAUGUGAUCCACAAAACAGCGCUCGCGUCAUGUGUCUUCGAUCCCACGGUGAAAGUCGAAAAGUAGGAUACCAGGUGAAGUUUACCCCGCCUCGUGACGUCAAGUAUCGGGCCAAGCUGACGAUUACCCACAUGAAGCUUGCACAGGACGUGUUCAGUUUUCGAUGUAGGGAUGAAAGAGGUGAAGGUCGGGAUAGAACUAUUUACAUCGCGCAGCCGCAGUUGGGAGACUCGGAUAUGUGGGACUUCCUGGUCAUCAAAUGUCCAUACAUCCGCCUGUCUGAGGACACUCUUAACAUGGACUGGUGCCGGUUGCGAGACCGGACUCUACUGGUCAACAAGCCAUCCCACAAGCAGCCGUCAGACAGCACACUGAGGCUACGCUCCUACCCAGGGGCCGUUGGGGCAGGGGCUCUGAGGGAGGAGGGAAAGUGUUACUGGGAGGUCACCUGCAGAAGUCAAGUCAAACAGAGAUGGUGGGGGUCCAUAUUUGAGACAGGCUUAGGUCGGAGAGUGGCAUUGGACACGCCCUACAUUGUGGGCUAUAGCCCCUACGGCUGGACUCUACAGAUAGUGUAUUGUACGGUUCAUAAGAACGUAUGUGCACAGGCAAGGAAUAACCGCCAGACUCUGUACCAUCUACCUCUUGUUGCAGAGGAGUUGACCAGCGUCCUGGACGUCCACGUGGGCUUCCUGAUGGACUUCGAUACCAACCAGCUCCACAUUAUAGACGUCACACAAGCACUGUUGUUGUACACGUUCAGGGACGUAGACGACAGCAAGCAGCUGUGGCCUUUCUGUGGGAUCUUCAACAACAACUGGUACAGCACGGAGCUCAAGAUGAUGUCGGGGGCGGAGGUGGUUCUGAAGCAAAGUCAUCUGAAGCUGCUCCAGGAUCUGUGUGAGAUGAUCUAACGAUCUGGAACCGAAGACAAACGUUGAGAUGCAUUUUGAGAUGGUCUAACGAUCUGUCAUUUAAGACAAGGAUGAGAUCGUCGUUGAGAUGGUCAAACGAUCUGUCUCAGAGGACGAAGGUUAAGAUUGUCUGACGAUAUUUCAUUGAGGACGAAGGUUUAGAUUGUCUGACGAUAUUUCAUUGAGGACGAAGGUUAAGAUUGUCUGACGAUAUUUCAGUUAGGACGAAGGUUAAGAUGAUCUGACGAUAUUUCAUUGAGGACGAAGGUUGAGAUGGUCUGACGAUAUUUCAUUGAAGGCGAAGGGUUAGAUGGUCCAGCAAGCUGUGUGAGAUGGCCUAAUAAUCUGUCAUUGAGGACGAAGGUUAAGAUGGUCUGACGAUAUUUCAUUGAGGACGAAGGUUAAGAUGGUCUAACGAUAUUUCAUUGAGGACGAAGGUUGAAAUGGUCGGGCGAUAUUUCAUCGAAGACGAAGUUUGAGAUGGUCUGACGAUAUUUCAUUGAGGACGAAGGUUGAGAUGGUCUGACGAUAUUUCAUUGAAGACGAAGGUUGAGAUGGUCUGACGAUAUUUCAGUUAGGACGAAGGUUAAGAUGAUCUGACGAUAUUUCAUUGAGGACGAAGGGUUAGAUGGUCUAACAAUCUGUGUGAGAUGGCCUAAUAACAUGUCAUUGAGGACGAAGGUUGAGAUGGUCUGACGAUCUCUAAUUAAAGACAAAUGUUGAGAUGAUCUGCAGACCUCUAAUUGAAGAUAAAUGUUGAGCUGGUCGACGAUAAUCUUCCAGCACGAUAUGGGGGUAGUCGUAGAGGCUGUGCUCAAUGAACAAUCCGACAGUAAAGACUCGAUCGAUGGAAGGAAUAAAAACAUUAUUUUUUUUAAAUGUCUCGAUAAGUCCAAGAGUAGUGUCAUCUUUAUAAUCGCAUAGAAAAUAUAGCAUGGUAUUAUAAUAAAAUGGACAAUAUUAA
rnacentral:misc_RNA from 1 species